rnacentral:rRNA from 1 species
UACGGAGGGUGCAAGCGUUAUCCGGAUUCACUGGGUUUAAAGGGUGCGUAGGUGGGUUGGUAAGUCAGUGGUGAAAUCCCCCGAGCUUAACUUGGGAACUGCCAUUGAUACUAUCAGUCUUGAAUACCGUGGAGGUCAGCGGAAUAUGUCAUGUAGCGGUGAAAUGCUUAGAUAUGACAUAGAACACCGAUAGCGAAGGCAGCUUGCUACACAAUUAUUGACACUGAGGCUCGAAAGCGUGGGGAUCAAACAGG